rnacentral:lncRNA from 1 species
AACACCCUAAACCCUGAAUGCAAUAAAUCAUGCAAAUAAUUCAAUUUUUUGGAAGAGUUUAGAUGCUACAUCUUCAAUUAUCUCAAAACAUGCAUAACUAUGUUUUCAAAAGCUCGCAGCGGAAAAUCAUAAUACAAGGCAUCUCAACAACAUGAAACAACAUGAGUAAAAAUGUACCACUUGAAUAUAGAUACUCAGAAUCAGGAGCUUAAACUGCAAGGUAAUGAGACGGUGAUGCUGGAAACUUAUUCCAUAUUUACCUUAGUUUUGAACUAGAAAAGAAAACAUGUAGGCGAUUGUGUUGCUCUGAUUUUAUAACACUAGGGUUGGGGUAUUUUGUUGUUUGUUAUAUUUAACUGGAAUUGACUUGGAAACGACAAUUUUAUUUUGCUAUGGUUUUUAGACCUUAAAUUAUUUUAAUUAAAGUUGAUGAACUACUCCGCUGCUUUAUUUGUGAUAUUUGAUUUGCAAAAAACUGAAUUGUUGAGUAUGUGUA